rnacentral:lncRNA from 1 species
GUGGCCGUCGGCCCGCAGAGGGAGCAAGAGAGCCCUUUAGAAUAGGAGGAAGAAGGAGAGAGCGGAAGAGAAAGAGAAAGGUUCAAGGGCAGUUGGUUGGCACUAUCUGGAGGAAAGCUGUGGCCGUUCUCAGGACUUCCUAGUCCCUCACAGUCAACAAAGAGUCGGGAAGACAAGGUCGUAUACAUAAAACAGUAGCAAGCAC